AUUGAACGCUGGCGGAAUGCUUUACACAUGCAAGUCGAGCGGCAGCGCGGGGGCAACCCUGGCGGCGAGCGGCGAACGGGUGAGUAACACAUCGGAACGUACCCAAUUGAGGGGGAUAGCCCGGCGAAAGCCGGAUUAAUACCGCAUAAGUCCUGAGGGAGAAAGCGGGGGACCGCAAGGCCUCGCGCGAUUGGAGCGGCCGAUGUCGGAUUAGCUAGUUGGUGGGGUAAAGGCUCACCAAGGCGACGAUCCGUAGCUGGUCUGAGAGGAUGAUCAGCCACACUGGGACUGAGACACGGCCCAGACUCCUACGGGUGGCAG
rnacentral:rRNA from 1 species